GGCAAAUGAAGCCAUAAAUGCCUGGGUCUAGGAUUGUGUGACGAUCACAUGAAGUCAUGAAUGCAAAGUGACUGGCAUAGAGGAGAUGCUCAGCAAAUGCCAGCUGCCAUCUCCCCCCAACCCCAUGCUACAUCUAACUGUGUCUCAGUUUUCUGCUGCACUUAGAGGAUAAGGAUGAGAGCUGAGGGUGGGGAGAGAAGGAAGAGCAGCAGCAGUAGCAGCUUCAGGAGGCUCCUGAUCACUUAGAAGAGAUGAAGGCUGAGCUACAGUAGGAGAGACUCAGGUUAACCCUGAGAGGGACUUCCCAUACUGAGACCCUGGAGGAAGCCACAUUUCAAAGGCCCCGCGAAACAUUCAAGGACCUUCUUCCAAGGGCACAAUACUGAGCAACAUGGACAAGGUCUGGCCCUAUGGUAAAGUCAGGUCUGGAUCAUGGAAUUGAAUGGGGUGUGUUGCCAGGCACCCGCAUGAGGGGCUGGCUCCUCCCCGUGAAUUCUGGGCACAGACACCCAGACCUGAGCAGGCCCCUCACCCCACAGCGACUGGGGAGCCGGAGCCCGAGUCCCUCCCACCUGCUCCCUCGGUUUCUGAGGGUCUGUCUCAUCCUGCAGCUGGACAGACGUGAUCUUCAGCCCCAAGUUACAGACGCUUAGAGAAGCUGGAGACUUGCACAAUGUCUCAGAGGAAAGAGAGCCAGAACCUGGACCCGUGUUGUACCCCAACCAAACCCUCCAUGGUGGAAGGAAUAGGAGUGGGAAGGGGAGGAGGAGACAUAUGGUCCAGGAGGUUCCAUAUGUACCCACACAUGGACCUCAAAGAGGCCCCCACAGCAAGACAGCAAAUGACAUCCACAGUCACAGAUCACGGAGUGAUUUCAGAUGAAGAUGGUGCUGGCAGGUAGUUGUCACGAGUCAGAGGUUAGGGGUCAGCACUGGAGCUGGCGCUGGAGGUGGGGAGGUUGAUGACUCCAAACAUCAGCUCAGGAGAUACUAGAGAAAGCCCAAGCCGAAAAGAAGUCUGCGCCUAGCAUAGGGCUUCCCAUUUAUUCAGUCCUUCGAGCUGGUAUCUGCCACCACUUUUCCCCAGGCUAAUUCCAGCCAAAAUAGAAUUCUACCUCCAUCUUAAAAUCUGCAAAUAUUUAACCUAAAGCCAAAGUGCCUGCUAAUUCCUGCAUCCCUCUAUCUCUGUCCUUCCACUCGCUAGUUUCCCCAUCAGCGCAAUGGAGUUUGAGCAAAGGAUCUCACUGGAGAAGUCGCAGCGACAGUGGAUCUAAGAGCAGAGGGCAAGGGCUGCCUGAGCCUUGUGAAGCUCAAUUCUGCCCCCUGGUGCCCAGAAUGCCGCGCCAGCAAUGGGAUGCAGGAAGAAGAGGCAGGAGACACCUGAGGUCUCUUACCUUUUCCAAGCUACUCAGACCUCCCUCUUACAGGGCAGGGAACACAGGGCACCAGCCCUACUAACCCAAUCUGAGGGGAAACUCUGAGGCUCCCUCUCCUGCAGAGAUCUCAGACUCUGUGGUAGAGUUGGUGUGGGGGGACACGUGACGUCAGCAAUAGCCCUGUCCAUCCAGCACCUGGACACCCCGAGUGGUUCCUUCUAUGGGAGGCAGAGGCAGGGCUGCCCCCUCUGCUGUGCAAUUCCUGGGGUCUUCAUCUGAGUUAAAUUCUUUUAAGUCAGGAUUUUUCUGGCUGAAAUUUCACAUUUGUGUUCAGUGGGAGUACUCAAAAAAUGUAGCAUGCAUGGAUGAAUUCCAUCCCUUUGCAUUGUCUUCAGAAGAUCUGUCCUAUGAAGCACAGGGAAAAGUGAGUUCGUUAAUUUGCAUAGUUGGCGGAAGUAGGGCUACAAAGAGGAAUGGGAUGGGGGAAGGGAGAGAUUUGAUGGGAGGAGGAUCUCAAGAGAGUUCAGAUGAAGGGAAAAUAAUGGGGGGG
rnacentral:lncRNA from 1 species